AUUGAACGCUAGCGGGAUGCCUUACACAUGCAAGUCGAACGGAGUGGCGAACGGGUGAGUAAUGUAUCGGAAGGUACCCAGUAGCGAGGGAUAACUCCGCGAAAGCGUAGCUAUUACCACAUACUUUUGGAGCGGCCUAUAUCGGAUUAGCUAGUUGGUGGGGUAACGGCUUACCAAGGCGACGAUGCGUAGCUGGUUUGAGAGGACGACCAGCCACACUGGGACUGAGACACGGCCCAGACUCCUACGGGAGGCAGCAGUGGGGAAUUUUGGACAAUGGGCGAAACCCUGAACCAGCAAUGCCGCGUGAGCGAUGAAGGCCUUCGGGUUGUAAAGCACUUUUGGCAGGAAAGCGGUACCUGCAGAAUAAGCACCGGCUAACUACGUGCCAGCAGCCGCGGUAAUAC
rnacentral:rRNA from 1 species